rnacentral:rRNA from 1 species
CCUACGGGAGGCAGCAGUGGGGAAUAUUGGGCAAUGGGCGCAAGCCUGACCCAGCAACGCCGCGUGAAGGAAGAAGGCUCUCGGGUUGUAAACUUCUUUUGUCCGGGACGAGUAGAAGACGGUACCCGACGAAUAAGCCACGGCGAACUACGUUCCAGCAGCCGCGGUAAAUCGUAGGUGGGAAGGGUUUUUCGGAUUUACUGGGUGUAAAGGGCGUGUAGGCGGGUGGACAAGUCAGAUGUGAAAUUCUGCGGCUUAACCGCUGAACUGCGUUUGAAACUGUUGAUCUUGAGUGCUGGAGAGGCAGACGGAAUUCCGAGUGUAGCGGUGAAAUGCGUAGAUAUUAGGAGGAACACCAGUGGCGAAGGCGGUCUGCUGGACAGCAACUGACGCUGAGGCGCGAAAGCGUGGGGAGCAAACAGGAUUAGAUACCCCAGUAGUC